rnacentral:lncRNA from 1 species
AUCAAAAGGACUUUUCCAAGGCUUGUAAUGAGGCUGGGUUAACAAGAAGAAUUGGUUUUCCUGAAAUGCAAAAUCCUUGAGUUAAGAGAGUUAUCAUAGUAUUCACAUUAAAGCACAACUCUCUUCCUCACCAAUCUCACUUAUUCCCAACUUUUUCCCUUUUCUUUUGCAUUGAGCCCAUCUUCAUGCUUUUCUUCUUUUCUUUUCUUUUUCUCAUGUAUUUUUCUUUCACAACAUUUGAGCUCAAUGCUUUUUCAAUUGCCUUUUAGUUUCCCCCAUGCAAC